ensembl:lincRNA
CUAUGGGGAAGCAGAAUAAUCUGACUAUGGGGAAACAGAAUAAUCUGACUAUGGGGGAAACAGAAUAAUCUGACUAUGGGGGAAGCAGAAUAAUCUGACUAUGGGGGAAGCAGAAUAAUCUGACUAUGGGGGAAGCAGAAUAAUCUGACUAUGGGGGAAGCAGAAUAAUCUGACUAUGGGGGAAGCAGAAUAAUCUGACUAUAGGGGAAGCAGAAUAAUCUUGAUUUUCCUUUUUUCUAGAUUAUUCUGCUUUUACUAUUGGCAGAUUAUUAUGAGGGUAAACUCUCUUCAGUUGAACAGACUGUAUUACUUCUUAAAACAAGCUCAUAUGUUUUGCUUGUCUAGAAAAUGCUGUCUGAUUUAAGAAUUAUUAGACGUUUGGACUAGAUGCAAGACUAAAAAUGCAAAUAAGAAGAGCAGGUUAUGCAGUGUAUGAGAUGUCAGAUGAACUCAUUUAGUUUUGGCACACUGAAAGUGAGCGUCAUUCUCUAUAUUCUCUAUUACAGGCAGUGUUUUGGUUUAUUUUGUUGGAGAAUCGACAAGUUACACACUUGUUUUGCUUGUAAUUUCAGACAAACAGACACUCAUUUAUCCGUCAAAGUGCAGAUGCUUCAGUUUUGUCUGAUAAGCUCAUAAAAAGAAAGCAUUUAGUUAGAAAACGCUGAUUUCAGUUCAGCAUAACACUGAUUUAACAGUUCAGUUUUGUCGUUUAAUGUCCAAUUACAGGAAAACUCCACUUUAUUUUGGCAAAUAGACUCAUUUAACAGCACUCCUAGAGUUUUCUGCCAUGUUGGAGUCAAUUUAGCUCAUUUCUGGGUCUCAUUGAGUGCACUUUUAGCUUAGCUUAGUAUAAAUCAUUGAAUUGGAUUAGACCGUUAGCAUCUUGCCCAAAAAUAAAUGAAUUUCAGCACUUUUCCUAUUCAAAGCUUGACUCAUCUUUGGCUACAUCAUCUACCAAGAUUGACAAUGGUAUCAUGCAGAGCUUUUAGCUGUAACAAGCUUAUUUUUAGGUAUAUUGUAUUAUAAUUGCACUGCUUUAGCCAAGGUACGACAGCAACGUUCCUUGAUUAUUACGCCAGAAUGAGAUUAUAGUUGCUAGCCAUUUCAACACAAAAAUAGCAACUUUUCUUUCCCCGUCAGUCUUAGUGCAGGAUGUGACUACAGAAGAAUCAAGCUUAAUCUAGGAAGAUUGUAAAUGUUUUGAGUGAGAUGCUAAUGGUCUAAUCCGAUUCAAUGAUUUAUGCUAAGCUAAGCUAAAAAUGCUCACACUAAACCCCAGGAUCAGCUGAAUGUAUAAAAAUGUUGAAACUCCACUCCUGAACUCUAGCAGAGCUGUAAAAUGCAAAGGGGUUUUCCUUUAACAACAGUCCAUCCACACAUUGAGAUACUGGAUUUUACUGUCAGUAUUUCUAGUCAGUCCGGGUGGAGUACAGAUGUUCUUACAGUAUGGGCUAGACAUUUCAAGCAUUGUUAGCUGUGGUGUGAUCAUUUAAAGAGGAAAUCUUUGGGGACAGACACUGUCAUGGGAGAUAUAUUAGGUGUUGUGAUGUCUUACGGUACACUAUUAUAAUCAGUGAGAAUGGUACAGUCCAGAUCUUGCUUCUUGUAGUGACUGAUACACGUAUACUGUGAUUUCUAACACACAACCAUGGGUUAAUGUGACACUACAAACAACGGCGAGUUGUUGCUUUAUUUUUAAUACAUGUCGAGUUUCUUAUGGGAGCUGUUUGUCUUAAUGAUUGCGUUGCAGAAAGCAGGGUUUGUCUAGAUAAAUAUACAGUAUAUAAGGUCCAGAAUUAGAGUUUGCAUAGCUGUAUGUCAUGGACAAGCCUGCCUUUUGUUUCGUUCUGUGUAGAUAUUACUGCAUAAUAAUGAGGUGUAGAUGGGAAAUGUUCCUGUAUACAGUACGGUUAGCCCUAGUUUACACAGAUUUUAAGUCUGGUACUUUUUAUUUGAAUGAUUUCUCUUGAUUUGUUUUUUAAACAUGGUACAUUAAUAACGGCUACAGUGCUAAAUACAAGCAGAUGCUAAUGCUAGCACCUGUAACAUCCGCAGUGUUUGCACAAUAAUCACGUUAGCGAAUACACGUGUGGAUCAUGGCUAGAUGAUGAAAAUAUCAACAGUAAGGAAGUGUAAAGUAAUCCUGGUGGUCUGUCUUUUGAUACUUGAAUGAUUCUGCUUUUAUAGAUCUCUCGUUCUCUCUGUAUAUGUGUAUGUAUGUACUGUAUUUGGUUUGCUUUUUGGUCCUGUUGUCGUCACAUCUAGAGAGGAACGUCUGUUUAAAGCUCAACAUAUCAUGAUGCGAGACUGACGACGGUAUCUCUGAGAGACACAGAAUCAAAGAGGACGAUUGUAAAUAAUCUUGGGCUUCCAGUCUUUUUUAUGAUUAUUAUUUUUCAUAAUUGUACAUCCAAUAAAUGAAGAGGUGGCAG